ensembl:misc_RNA 7SK 7SK RNA
GGAUGUGAGGGUGAUAUGCCUACAACAUCUGUCACAUCAUUGAUUGCCAGGGUUGAUUCAGCUGAUCUGGCUGGGCAGGCAGGUGUCCCCUUCCUCUCUCACUGCUCCAUGUGCAUCCCUCCCAAAGCUGUGCUCUUGGUUGAAGAGGACAACCAUCCCCAAUAGAGGAAGACCAUUCUUCUGUCAAGGGUGUACGAGUAGCUGUGCUUCCCUGCUAGAACCUGCAAACAAGCUCUCAAGGUUCAUAAAUGCACUCGCCAUGUACUUCAGGAUUACAUUAAAGUUUGACAACCACUUCUCUAAAAU